UACGGAGGGGGCAAGCGUUGUUCGGAAUUACUGGGCGUAAAGGGCGCGUAGGCGGCACGGCAAGUCAGGCGUGAAAGGCCUGGGCUCAACCGAGGAACUGCUUUUGAGACUGCCGAGCUAGAGUGCAGAAGGGGCAACUGGAAUUCCCAGUGUAGCGGUGAAAUGCGUAGAUAUUGGGAAGAACACCUGAGGCGAAGGCGGGUUGCUGGGCUGACACUGACGCUGAGGCGCGAAAGCCAGGGGAGCAAACGGG
rnacentral:rRNA from 1 species